GAAGAGGAAGCUGCUGCUAUCAUUGAAGAAGAAGAUGCAGAAGACUUGAACAAUUUUGUUAUUCCUGGUGGUGUCUGCCACAAUUGGGUCGCUGUGGAUGUUCCUACAGUUAUCCAUAGAUCAGAGUAAAUUGUUCACUUUGUUUAAAACCCUUCUCCCAUGCCAAAAGGAGAAGUGAUGACAUUGUUGGCAAAGCAUAUAUACAAUGAUGUUUUCAUUCAAUUUUUGCAUUGUUAAACAUUUGUUUUUCCUUUGUUUUCACUUUUUGCUUUUCGUAAUGAAAUCAGUGAUCACAAAAAACCAUAAAAACAAAAAAAUAAAAGCAAACAUUUUUCAUCUGCAUAAUGAUUUGUUUGUCUAAAUUCUGAAGUUUUUCUUAACCAAAAUCAUUAUGCAGGUUGAUCCUAAAACCCAUUGAAC
rnacentral:lncRNA from 1 species